GAUGAUGACAAAACUUGGAGUAUGUGCAAUAUAAAAUAUAUUGUGUUCUAGGACUAAUGCAUAGCUAAGUUGCAUGAAGUAGAAAACAUAAAUAUUUAAAACAUACUUCAUGAUAAUGCUUUAGAUUUAAUCAGCUUAACACAAUCAACCUAUUUCAGUUUAAGCUGAGUUGGUAUUCAAUAUAAAAUACAAAGCAUUAUGAGCAUAUACUUAGAUAUUUCUCCCCCUUUUUGACAACAUCAAAAAGAUAGUGGAAUAUUAAGCACAAAGAUAAGAAUACUCAAAUAUUUCUUUUUCUUAUUGUACUCUGAUUUGCAUGUCAAGUUAUUGCAAGAAUAUGAAUCAUAUAACUCAAGGCAAUAAUGUUAGAAAAAGAUUAAUGAGCAUAGAUCAGAGC
rnacentral:lncRNA from 1 species